rnacentral:rRNA from 1 species
GACGAACGCUGGCGGCGGGCUUAACACAUGCAAGUCGAACGGAAAGGCCCUGCUUGUGUGGGGUGCUCGAGUGGCGAACGGGUGAGGAACACGUGAGUAACCUGCCCUUGACUUUGGGAUAACUUCAGGAAACUGGGGCUAAUACCGGAUAGGAGCUCCUGCUGCAUGGUGGGGGUUGGAAAGUUUCGGCGGUUGGGGAUGGACUCGCGGCUUAUCAGCUUGUUGGUGGGGGAGUGGCUGACCAAGGCUUUGACGGGUAGCCGGCCUGAGAGGGUGACCGGCCACCUUGGGCCUGAGAUACGGCCCAGACUCCUACGGGAGGCAGCAGUGGGGAAUAUUGCACAAUGGGCGGACGCCUGAUGCAGAAACCCCGCGUGCGGGAUGACGGCCUUCGGGUUGUAAACCGCUUUCGCCUGUGACGAAGCGUGAGUGACGGUAAUGGGUAAAGAAGCACCGGCUAACUACGUG